rnacentral:rRNA from 1 species
CACGUAGUUAGCCGGGGCUUCUUCUGCAGGUACCGUCACCUUGCGGCCUCGUCCCUGCUGAAAGCGGUUUACAACCCGAAGGCCGUCAUCCCGCACGCGGCGUCGCUGCGUCAGGCUUUCGCCCAUUGCGCAAGAUUCCCCACUGCCUGCCUCCCGUAGGACGUCUGGGCCGUGUCUCAGUCCCAAUGUGGCCGAUCACCCUCUCAGGUCGGCUACGCAUCGUCGCCUUGGUGAGCCGUUACCUCACCAACUAGCUAAUGCGCCGCGGGCCCAUCUCAUAGCGGAUUGCUCCUUUAAUUGCUACUUCAUGCGAAGCUACAAUCUUAUGCGGUAUUAAUCUCCCUUUCGGAAGGCUAUUCCCCUCUAUGAGGCAGGUUGCCCACGUGUUACUCACCCGUCCGCCGCUAGCUUUGUUCCGUAAGAACUCCACUCGCUCGACUUGCAUGUGUUAGGCACGCCGCCAGCGUGUCUCUAGUCACGACGUCGAACUACUCUAC